UUCGUAGGCGGUUUGUCGCGUCGUUUGUGAAAACCCGGGGCUCAACUUCGGGCUUGCAGGCGAUACGGGCAGACUUGAGUGUUUCAGGGGAGACUGGAAUUCCUGGUGUAGCGGUGAAAUGCGCAGAUAUCAGGAGGAACACCGGUGGCGAAGGCGGGUCUCUGGGAAACAACUGACGCUGAGGAACGAAAGCGUGGGUAGCAAACA
rnacentral:rRNA from 1 species